rnacentral:rRNA from 1 species
GACGAACGCUGGCGGCGUGCCUAACACAUGCAAGUCGCACGGGGUAGCAAUACCCAGUGGCGAACGGGUGCGUAACACGUGAGGAAUAUGACUUCCGGUGGGGGAUAGCCGGCCCAACGGCCGGGUAAUACCGCAUACGCUGCGCGAGGGGCAUCCCUUGCGUCGGAAAGCAGCAAUGCGCCGGAAAGGUACCUCGCGGCCUAUCAGCUAGUUGGUGAGGUAAUGGCUCACCAAGGCGACGACGGGUAGCUGGUCUGAGAGGAUGACCAGCCACACUGGGACUGAGACACGGCCCAGACUCCUACGGGAGGCAGCAGUGGGGAAUAUUGGACAAUGGGCGAAAGCCUGAUCCAGCAAUGCCGCGUGAGUGAUGAAGGCCUUAGGGUUGUAAAGCUCUUUUACCAGGGAUGAUAAUGACAGUACCUGGAGAAUAAGCUCCGGCUAACUCCGUGCCAGCCGCCGCGGUAA